UAAUACGUAGGGGGCGAGCGUUGUCCGGAAUUAUUGGGCGUAAAGGGUUCGUAGGCGGCAAUGUAUGUCAGGUGUGAAAGACGGUGGCUCAACCAACGCAAGCAUCUGAAACUGCAUAGCUUGAGAAAAGGAGAGGUAAGUGGAAUUCCUAGUGUAGCGGUGAAAUGCGUAGAUAUUAGGAGGAAUACCAGUGGCGAAGGCGACUUACUGGACUUUAACUGACGCUGAUGAACGAAAGCGUGGGGAGCAAACAGG
rnacentral:rRNA from 1 species